UGUACGGGUUGCAUUUCGAUCCUCCGGUGGCUUCUCCUUUGGAGGCGUCGGCGGUGCUUUCGGUGUAUCUCGUCUAGCGAUGGGACGGCGCAUGAGUGGUGAUUAGGAUAUGUUUCCCAUGCAGGCUCCAUGUAUCUGGCAUCGAACUGCUUUGGGUGUAUCUAUUUCAUUUGCGGGUUCGCCUCGGCGUUGUCAUGGUCGGUAGCGACUACUCGUUGGGUUCCUGUGCUUGGUACUGAAUUCUGUAGCUGGAUGGAUUGCUGUUCCCCGUCGUGGUUUUGUGAUCCCCCUCCGCUUCGCGCGGCGAUGGUGGAUAUUGUGCGGGCAUCGAGGUUUUCCUACGGGCGCUUUCGGUUUCGACGGCACUUUGAUGCUAACGGCACUCUCGGGUACGGAGAUUUUGUGGUUAUCGCAUUGGUCUUCGACCUUUGUGAUCGUAACGUAUCGAAGCUUUCUUGCUUCUGAAUGUAUGACCCUCGUUCUCGUCUAAGAGGUUCACGGAGCGUCUUCGCUUGGUGUUCUYCUUGGGGAGCCAUCGAGGUCUACGAAGGAAUGCUACCUGGUUGAU
rnacentral:misc_RNA from 1 species